rnacentral:rRNA from 1 species
AAAGAGGUAGCCCGGAGAUGGACUUUGAGACACGAGUCCAGGCCCUACGGGGCGCAGCAGGCGCGAAAACUUCGCAAUGCGGGAAACCGUGACGAGGGAAUCCCGAGUGCUCAUACAAUGUAUGGGCUUUUCUGAUGUGUAAAAGGCAUUAGGAAUAAGGGCUGGGUAAGACCGGUGCCAGCCGCCGCGGUAAUACCGGCAGCUCUAGUGGUAGCCACUUUUAUUGGGCCUAAAGCGUCCGUAGCCGGUCGGGUAAAUCCUUGGGUAAAUCGUACAGCUUAACUGUGCGGCUUCCGGGGAGACUGCCCGACUUGGGACCGGGAGAGGUUGGAGGUACUCCUGGGGUAGGGGUGAAAUCCUGUAAUCCUAGGUGGACCACCGGUGGCGAAGGCGUCCAACCAGAACGGCUCCGACGGUGAGGGACGAAGGCUAGGGGCGCAAACCGGAUUAGAUACCCGGGUAGUCCUAGCUGUAAACGCUGCAGACUUGGUGUUGGAGAUCCCACGAGGGUGUCCAGUGCCGGAGAGAAGUUGUUAAGUUUGCCGCCUGGGAAGUAUGGCCGCAAGGCUGAAACUUAAAGGAAUUGGCGGGGGAGCACCGCAACCGGAGGAGC